rnacentral:rRNA from 1 species
AUUGAACGCUGGCGGCAUGCUUUACACAUGCAAGUCGAACGGUAACAGGCCGCAAGGUGCUGACGAGUGGCGAAUGGGUGAGUAAUGCAUCGGAACGUGCCCAGUCGUGGGGGAUAACGCAGCGAAAGCUGUGCUAAUACCGCAUACGAUCUAUGGAUGAAAGCGGGGGACCGUAAGGCCUCGCGCGAUUGGAGCGGCCGAUGUCAGAUUAGGUAGUUGGUGGGGUAAAGGCCCACCAAGCCAACGAUCUGUAGCUGGUCUGAGAGGAAGACCAGCCACACUGGGACUGAGACACGGCCCAGACUCCUACGGGAGUCAGCAGUGGGGAAUUUUGGACAAUGGGCGCAAGCCUGAUCCAGCAAUGCCGCGUGCAGGAAGAAGGCCUUCGGGUUGUAAACUGCUUUUGUACGGAACGAAACGGUCUGGGUUAAUACCUCGGGCUAAUGACGGUACCGUAAGAAUAAGCACCGGCUAACUACGUGCCAGCCGCCGCGGUAACAC